rnacentral:snoRNA from 1 species
ACCCUGAUUCCCUUUCACAUUGGAUCAAAUGGUGGUCAUAAACGAGGUAGUACCCUGAAGCGGGCAUCACAACAGUGUAGUCUAGUACAGAACAGAAGGCCAAAUUCAAAAAUGC